rnacentral:rRNA from 1 species
AUUGAACGCCGGCGGCAGGCCUAACACAUGCAAGUCGAGCGGAUGAAGGGAGCUUGCUCCUGGAUUCAGCGGCGGACGGGUGAGUAAUGCCUAGGAAUCUGCCUGGUAGUGGGGGAUAACGUCCGGAAACGGGCGCUAAUACCGCAUACGUCCUGAGGGAGAGAGUGGGGGAUCUUCGGACCUCACGCUAUCAGAUGAGCCUAGGUCGGAUUAGCUAGUUGGUGGGGUAAAGGCCUACCAAGGCGACGAUCCGUAACUGGUCUGAGAGGAUGAUCAGUCACACUGGAACUGAGACACGGUCCAGACUCCUACGGGAGGCAGCAGUGGGGAAUAUUGGACAAUGGGCGAAAGCCUGAUCCAGCCAUGCCGCGUGUGUGAAGAAGGUCUUCGGAUUGUAAAGCACUUUAAGUUGGGAGGAAGGGCAGUAAGUUAAUACCUUGCCGUUUUGACGUUACCAACAGAAUAAGCACCGGCUAACUUCGUG